rnacentral:rRNA from 1 species
GACGAACGCUGGCGGCGUGCCUAAUACAUGCAAGUCGAACGCAGUUGGGACGGGUGAGUAACACGUGGUUAACCUCCCAUCAGAUGGGAUAACACUUGGUAACAGGUGCUAAACCGAUACUGAGCGAUGGACCCGCGGUGCAUUAGCUAGUUGGUGAGGGAACGGCCCACCAAGUCAACGAUGCAUAGCCGACCUGAGAGAGUGAGCGGCCACACUGGGACUGAGACACGGCCCAGACUCCUACGGGAGGCAGCAGUAGGGAAUCGUCGGCAAUGGACGAAAGCCUGACCGAGCAACGCCGCGUGAGUGAGGAAGGUUUUCGGAUCGUAAAACUCUGUUGUUAGGGAAGCGGUAUCUAACCAGAAAGCCACGGCUAACUACGUGCCAGCAGCCGCGGUAAUUC